AUUGAACGCUGGCGGCAGGCCUAACACAUGCAAGUCGAACGGUAACAGGAAGCAGCUUGCUGCUUCGCUGACGAGUGGCGGACGGGUGAGUAAUGUCUGGGAAACUGCCUGAUGGAGGGGGAUAACUACUGGAAACGGUAGCUAAUACCGCAUAAUGUCGCAAGACCAAAGAGGGGGACCUUCGGGCCUCUUGCCAUCGGAGGUGCCCAGAUGGGAUUGGCUUGUUGGUGGGGUAACGGCUCACCAAGGCGACGAUCCCUAGCUGGUCUGAGAGGAUGACCAGCCACACUGGAACUGAGACACGGUCCAGACUCCUACGGGAGGCAGCAGUGGGGAAUAUUGCACAAUGGGCGCAAGCCUGAUGCAGCCAUGCCGCGUGUAUGAAGAAGGCCUUCGGGUUGUAAAGUACUUUCAGCGGGGAGGAAGGGAGUAAAGUUAAUACCUUUGCUCAUUGACGUUACCCGCAGAAGAAGCACCGGCUAACUCCGUGCCAGCAGCCGCGGUAA
rnacentral:rRNA from 1 species